rnacentral:rRNA from 1 species
UACAGAGGGUGCGAGCGUUAAUCGGAAUUACUGGGCGUAAGGCGCGCGUAGGCGGUUUUGUAAGUCGGGUGUGAAAUCCCCAAGCUUAACUUGGGAACUGCAUUCGAGACUGCAUAGCUAGAGUAUGGGAGAGGGAAGUGGAAUUUCAGGUGUAGCGGUGAAAUGCGUAGAUAUCUGAAGGAACAUCAGUGGCGAAAGCGACUUCCUGGACCAAUACUGACGCUCAUGUGCGAAAGCGUGGGGAGCAAACAGG